rnacentral:misc_RNA from 1 species
AGGUCAGAUGCAGCGGGUUGCGCUUGGCCGUGCGCUCGUCCGAGACCCCGAUGUCUUUCUGCUCGAUGAGCCUCUUUCCAACCUCGACGCCAAGCUGCGCGUGAAGACUCGCGAGGAAAUCGCGACGCUGCAUGCCCGGCUCGGAGCCACGAUGAUUUUCGUGACACACGACCAGGUCGAAGCCAUGACGCUCGGUGACCG